UCGACUGUUUAUCAAAAACAUAAUUAAUAGAUAUAAUUAUUAAUAUAUCCUGCUCAAUGAAGAUUAAAUAGCCGCAGUUCAUACUGUGCUAAGGUAGCAUAAUCAUUUGUCUUUUAAUUAAAGACUAGAAUGAAAGGAUAAACAUUUAAUUCAUUUUUAUAAAUUCCUUAAUUAAAUUUAUUUUAAAUGUAAAAAAACAUUUAUUCAAAAGAAAGACGAAAAGACCCUAUUGAACUUUACUUUAGUUAAACUGGGGCAGUUAAUUAAUAAAUAUUUUAAUAAUUUAUUUUUAAAAAAUGACCCGACCAAAUCGAUAAAAUGAUCAAGUUACCAUAGGGAUAACAGCGUAAUAUUUUUCUUUAGAUCUUAUAUAAAAAAAAGAUUACGACCUCGAUGUUGAAUUAAUUUUUCUAAUAAAUGCAACCAUUUAAAAAGAAAGUCUGUUCGACUUUUAAACAAUUACAUGAUUUGAGUUCAGACCGGUGUAAACCAGGUCGGUUUCUAUCUU
rnacentral:rRNA from 1 species